rnacentral:rRNA from 1 species
UUCACUCUAGCGAGACUGCCGGUAAUAAACCGGAGGAAGGUGGGGAUGACGUCAAAUCAUCAUGCCCCUUAUGACCUGGGCUACACACGUGCUACAAUGGCUGGUACAACGAGUCGCGAGUCGGUGACGGCAAGCUAAUCUCUUAAAGCCAGUCUCAGUUCGGAUUGUAGGCUGCAACUCGCCUACAUGAAGUCGGAAUCGCUAGUAAUCGCGGAUCAGCACGCCGCGGUGAAUACGUUCCCGGGCCUUGUACACACCGCCCGUCACACCACGAGAGUUUGUAACACCCGAAGUCGGUGAGGUAACCGUAAGGAGCCAGCCGCCUAAGGUGGGAUAGAUGAUUGGGGUGAAGUCGUAACAAGGGUAACCGUAGA